UUGGUUCUAAACCAUAUAUACAGAACUAGCAUUGUAACCUACAGUAGGGUAAAUGUCUUUCAGAGCACUAUGGUAGCAUUUGACUGUGACUGUGAGUACAUUAUUACAAAGCAAAGUCCAUUCAUUGAAGACAUUCAGUCUACUCAGGUUAUUACAGUAAAAGACAUUUCUCUAUUUUCCGAUACUCCUCAUGUCGAGUCCUCAGAUCUUGACACACACAUGUGUUUAUGACGUCACGUUCUAGUGUAGAAGACACGGAACAUUGAACAUUCCAACACGUCAGUUCUCCACAUGCUGUACAUGUGGCCCAUGUUAUUGGUCAGCUGUUUGCGUGUGUGUUUGCAUCAAUAUCUCCUCAUGUACUGUGGACUGGGGUGUAUAGUGUCACUACUUCCCCUGAGGGAGAACAGAGCUUUAGAGGUGACCUAGUUCCACUGAUUAAUGUCAGCAGAAGGCCGUGUGUGUGUGUGUGUGUGUUCCAUCAGUGCUUUGUACCGGGGUACUGAACUGUGCCAUGGACUCAGGACUCAACCCAAUUGGGCUUGUGUAAUGAAGCAAGCAAGCACACACACACACACACACAUGCACACGCACACACACACGCAAGCACGCACGCACGCACGCACACACACACACACACACACACACACACACACACACACACACACACACACACACACACACACACACACACACACACACACACACACACACACACGCACGCACGCACGCACACACACACACACACACAGAGAGAGAUAAUAACAUCCGUAUAACACCCAGAUAUUACCCUCUCUAUCAACCAGAAGAACUGACUCCUCUGUGGUAAUGUUCAUGGAAUACAUGAACCAAUAUAUGAACCAAUACAUGAACCACUGCAUGAACCAAUACAUGAACCAAUACAUGAACCACUGCAUGAACCAAUACAUGAACCAAUACAUGAACCACUGCAUGAACCAAUACAUGAACCAAUACAUGAACCAAUACAUGAACCAAUACAUGAACCAAUACAUGAACCAAUACAUGAACCAAUACAUGAACCAAUACAUGAACCAAUACACCAUGACGAUGCAUCAGUAGGUCGUGUGACAGACAGGGAAUUACACUGUGUGAUGGAUGCUGGCUGUCAUUACACUGCUGCUCGGUUCUCUCUCCUAAAAUGGCAGCACAAUAGAACAGAAGGCUGUGGCUCUGACUCUGUACUGAACAAUGACUGAACCAAUGACUGAACCAAUGACUGCUGUGACUGAGAUGAGAUCUAUGCAGUUUGUUACAUUCUUGUUGUCACUUCUGAGGAGACUGGUAGCUAAACAUACAUUCAUGGUAGGUUGUAGAUGUGUAAAUUCAUGGUAGGUUGUAGAUGUGUAAAUUCAUGGUAGGUUGUAGAUGUGUAAAUUCAUGGUAGGUUGUAGAUGUGUAAAUUCAUGGUAGGUUGUAGAUGUGUAAAUUCAUGGUAGGUUGUAGAUGUGUAAAUUCAUGGUAGGUUGUAGAUGUGUAAAUUCAUGGUAGGUUGUAGAUGUGUAAAUUCAUGGUAGGUUGUAGAUGUGUAAAUUAAUGGUAGGUUGUAGAUGUGUAAAUUCAUGGUAGGUUGUAGAUAUGUAAAUUCAUGGUAGGUUGUAGAUGUGUAAAUUCAUGGUAGGUUGUAGAUGUGUAAAUUCAUGGUAGGUUGUAGAUGUGUAAAUUCAUGGUAGGUUGUAGAUGUAUAAAUUCAUGAUAGGUUGUAGAUAUGUAAAUUCAUGGUAGGUUGUAGAUGUGUAAAUUCAUGGUAGGUUGUAGAUGUGUAAAUUCAUGGUAGGUUGUAGAUGUGUAAAUUCAUGGUAGGUUGUAGAUGUGUAAAUUCAUGGUAGGUUGUAGAUGUGUAAAUUCAUGGUAGGUUGUAGAUGUGUAAAUUCAUGGUAGGCUGUCAUGUAGAACAUGUGUAUACUUUAUAUUGAUGUGAUGGUGCAAUGUCCAAGCUUCCUCAAAACGUGUAAACACGAUUCAUAGAUUUCAUAUAGAAGUGUACUCUGUAGAAGUGAUGACACAUGGGUAAUAGGACGAGAGAAUAAAUACGCAGAACCGCAGCAAAGUACAACUGAUCAAAACAUUUACAAGAAUAAGAAGACUGUCUGAAAAGAGUCCCCGAAAAGAGUGGAUGAGCUUACAUGACUGUUAUGUUACGAUCAGAAACACCUAUUGAACCGUUUCCAAGGAGAACAUUAAUCACUACAUACAUAUACAUACAGAUACAUCCAAUCAAUUAUAAAUAGUCAAUCCAUCGUGAUAUUCAAUACUUCAUAAAAUCCUUCAAAA